rnacentral:rRNA from 1 species
AUUGAACGCUGGCGGCAGGCCUAACACAUGCAAGUCGAGCGAGCGGCGGACGGGUGAGAAAUGUAUGGGGACUGCCCGAUAGAGGGGGAUAACUACGGGAAACGGUAGCUAAUAACGCACACUAUCGGAUAACCCAUAUGGGAUUAGCUAGUAGGUGAGGUAAUGGCUCACCUAGGCGACGAUCCCUAGCUGGUCUGAGAGGAUGAUCAGCAACACUGGGACUGAGAAACGGACCAGACACCUACGGAGGCAGCAGUGGGGAAUAUUGCACGAUGGGCGCAAGUCUGAUGCAGCCAUGGCGCGUGUAUGAAGAAGGCCCUAGGGUUGUAAAGUACUUUCAGUCUGGAGGCGUUACCUACAGAAGAAGCACCGGCUAACUCCGUGCCAGAAGCCGCUGUAAUUC